rnacentral:rRNA from 1 species
ACGGGUGAGUAACACGUGGGUAACCUGCCUCAUAGAGGGGAAUAGCCUUCCGAAAGGAAGAUUAAUACCGCAUAAGAUUGUAGUGCCGCAUGGCAUAGCAAUUAAAGGAGUGAUCCGCUAUGAGAUGGACCCGCGUCGCAUUAGCUAGUUGGUGAGGUAACGGCUCACCGAGGCGACGAUGCGUAGCCGACCUGAGAGGGUGAUCGGCCACAUUGGGACUGAGACACGGCCCAGACUCCUACGGGAGGCAGCAGUGGGGAAUAUUGCACAAUGGGGGAAACCCUGAUGCAGCAACGCCGCGUGAGUGAUGACGGUCUUCGGAUUGUAAAACUCUGUCUUCAGGGACGAUAAUGACGGUACCUGAGGAGGAAGCCACGGCUAACUACGUGCCAGCAGCCGCGGUAAUACGUAGGUGGCAAGCGUUGUCCGGAUUUACUGGGCGUAAAGGGAGCGUAGGUGGAUAUUUAAGUGGGAUGUGAAAUACUCGGGCUUAACCUGGGUGCUGCAUUCCAAACUGAAUAUCUAGAGUGCAGGAGAGGAAAGUAGAAUUCCUAGU